CAAGAAAGUAAGUGUGAAAUUCGCCUUACUUGGUUGGAAAUCAGACGCAGACGCUCCACCAAACUUGGAAUCGGUCAUUGAACUCUGGGAAGAUUUAAAAAUCUCCGGCGGGAAUGACAUCGUUACGAUUGCCUGCCACGAUGGAGUGACAGCCAGCGGCCUUUUCCUUGCAAUUGGCUUUGUAAUCGAAAAAAUCAAUAUGGAACAAAAGGUUGACGUCGGUCUGGCCGUGCGAACCCUGAGAAAGGCAAAACCGGCGUUCAUUUCUUCAGAAAUGCAGUUUGGUCUUCUCUACAAAGCUGCCAAAUUAUAUUUGAGCUCCUUCGAAACUUAUAAAAACUUCAAAUAAGGAUAGAAAUUAAUAUGGUCUUUUAUAAUAUUACUGGCUUUCACUC